UUGACCUCGAAUCAGGUGGGACUACCCGCUGAACUUAAGCAUAUCAAUAAGCGGAGGAAAAGAAACUAACAAGGAUUCCCCUAGUAACGGCGAGUGAAGAGGGAAAAGCUCAAAUUUAAAAUCUGACAGUCUUCGAUUGUCCGAGUUGUAAUCUAGAGAAGUGUUUUCCGUG
rnacentral:rRNA from 1 species